rnacentral:rRNA from 1 species
AGUGAACGCUGGCGGUAGGCCUAACACAUGCAAGUCGAACGGCAGCACAGGAGAGCUUGCUCUCUGGGUGGCGAGUGGCGGACGGGUGAGGAAUACAUCGGAAUCUACUUUUUCGUGGGGGAUAACGUAGGGAAACUUACGCUAAUACCGCAUACGACCUACGGGUGAAAGCAGGGGAUCUUCGGACCUUGCGCGAUUGAACGAGCCGAUGUCGGAUUAGCUAGUUGGCGGGGUAAAGGCCCACCAAGGCGACGAUCCGUAGCUGGUCUGAGAGGAUGAUCAGCCACACUGGAACUGAGACACGGUCCAGACUCCUACGGGAGGCAGCAGUGGGGAAUAUUGGACAAUGGGCGCAAGCCUGAUCCAGCCAUACCGCGUGGGUGAAGAAGGCCUCCGGGUUGUAAAGCCCUUUUGUUGGGAAAGAAAUCCAGCUGGUUAAUACCCGGUUGGGAUGACGGUACCCAAAGAAUAAGCACCGGCUAACUUCGUGCCAGCCGCCGCAGUAA